GACGAACGCUGGCGGCGUGCUUAACACAUGCAAGUCGAACGGACAGGCCCGGCUUUUGUGGGGUGCUCGAGUGGCGCAGGGGUGAGUAACACGUGAGUAAACUGCCCUUGACUUUGGGAUAACUUCAGGAAACUGGGGCUAAUACCGGAUAGGAGCUCCUGCUGCAUGGUGGGGGUUGGAAAGUUUCGGCGGUGGGGGAUGGUCUGGCUGCUUAUCAGCUGGAUUGUGGGGUAGGGGCUUACCAAGUGUUAGACGGGUAGCCGGCCUGAGAGGGGGACCGGCGACAUGGGGACUGAGAGACGGCGCAGACUCGUACGGGAGGCAGCGGGGGGGAGUAUUGCGCAAUGGCGCGACGCCUGAGGCAGCAGCGCCGCGUGCGGGAUAACGUGCUAUGGGUUAUAAACCGCUUUCGCAUGAGACGAAGCGUGAGUGACGGUAAUGGGUAAAGAAGCACCGGCUAACUACGUG
rnacentral:rRNA from 1 species